UACGUAGGGGGCAAGCGUUGUCCGGAUUUAUUGGGCGUAAAGAGCGUGUAGGCGGUUCGGUAGGUCCGUUGUGAAAACUCGAGGCUCAACCUCGAGACGCCGAUGGAAACCCCCGAACUAGAGUCCGGAAGAGGAGAAUGGAAUUCCUGGUGUAGCGGUGAAAUGCGCAGAUAUCAGGAAGAACACCAAUGGCGAAGGCAGCUCGCUGGGACGUGACUGACGCUGAGACGCGAAAGCGUGGGGAGCAAACAGG
rnacentral:rRNA from 1 species